UACGGGGGGAGCGAGCGUUGUUCGGAUUUACUGGGCGUAAAGGGCGCGUAGGCGGGUCAUCAAGUCAGAUGUGAAACCCGGCAGCUUAACUGUCGGCCUGCAUCUGAAACUGGCGACCUUGAGUACGGGAGAGGAAAGCGGAAUUCCUGGUGUAGCGGUGAAAUGCGUAGAUAUCAGGAGGAACACCGGUGGCGAAGGCGGCUUUCUGGCCCGAUACUGACGCUGAGGCGCGAAGGCCGGGGGAGCAAACAGG
rnacentral:rRNA from 1 species